AAUUCGCCCUUAGAGUUUGAUCAUGGCUCAGAUUGAACGCUGGCGGCAGGCUUAACACAUGCAAGUCGAGCGGGGAAUGGUAGCUUGCUACCUGACCUAGCGGCGGACGGGUGAGUAAUGCUUAGGAAUCUGCCUAUUAGUGGGGGACAACAUUCCGAAAGGAAUGCUAAUACCGCAUACGCCCUACGGGGGAAAGCAGGGGAUCUUCGGACCUUGCGCUAAUAGAUGAGCCUAAGUCAGAUUAGCUAGUUGGUGGGGUAAAGGCCUACCAAGGCGACGAUCUGUAGCGGGUCUGAGAGGAUGAUCCGCCACACUGGGACUGAGACACGGCCCAGACUCCUACGGGAGGCAGCAGUGGGGAAUAUUGGACAAUGGGCGCAAGCCUGAUCCAGCCAUGCCGCGUGUGUGAAGAAGGCCUUUUGGUUGUAAAGCACUUUAAGCGAGGAGGAGGCUACUGAGAUUAAUACUCUUGGAUAGUGGACGUAC
rnacentral:rRNA from 1 species